AUUGAACGCUGGCGGCAUGCCUUACACAUGCAAGUCGAACGGCAGCACGGGUGCUUGCACCUGGUGGCGAGUGGCGAACGGGUGAGUAAUAUAUCGGAACGUACCUUAUUGUGGGGGAUAACGCAGCGGAAGCUGUGCUCAUACCGCAUAAUCCCUAAGGGGGAAAGCGGGGGACCGUAAGGCACCGCGCAAUUAGACAGGCUGAUACCUGAGUAGCUAGUUGGUGAGGUAAAGGCUAACCAAGGCAACGAUCAGUAGCUGGUCUGAGAGGACGAUCAGCCACACUGGGACUGAGACACGGCCCAGACUCCUACGGGAGGCAGCAGUGGGGAAUUUUGGACAAUGGGGGCAACCCUGAUCCAGCAAUGCCGCGUGAGUGAAGAAGGCCUUCGGGUUGUAAAGCUCUUUUGUCAGGGAAGAAACAGCAGCUCUAACACAGUAUGCGAAUGACGGUACCUGAAGAAUAAGCACCGGCUAACUACGUGCCAGCAGCCGCCGUAA
rnacentral:rRNA from 1 species